GACGAACGCUGGCGGCGUGCCUAAUACAUGCAAGUAGAACGCUGAAGAGAGGAGCUUGCUCUUCUUGGGUGAGUUGCGCACGGGUGAGUAACGCGUAGGUAACCUGCCUUGUAGCGGGGGAUAACUAUUGGAAACGAUAGCUAAUACCGCAUAACAAUGGAUGACACAUGUCAUUUAUUUGAAAGGGGCAAUUGCUCCACUACAAGAUGGACCUGCGUUGUUUUAGCUAGUAGGUGAGGUAACGGCUCAUCUAGGCGACGUUACGUAGCCGACCUGAGAGGGUGAGUGGCCAGCCUGGGACGGAGACCGGCCCCAGAGGCAUACGGGAGGCGGCAAUACGGCUUCUUCGGGCAGCGGUGCAAAACUGUGCGAGCUACGCCGCGUCAGUGAAGAGCGUUUUCGGAUCGUAAAGGUCGGUUGUAAGUUAAGAACGAGUGUGAGAGUGGAACGUUCACUCUGUGACGGUAGCUGAUCAGAAAGGGACGGCUAACUACGUG
rnacentral:rRNA from 1 species